rnacentral:pre_miRNA from 1 species
GUAGCCAAGAUCGGGUGCACCCGGUGGAAAGACGGCCAAGGCCAGGUAGGGCCGGGUGCCGGCCAAUCAGAUGGUGGCAUGCGGUCGCUCCCAGCAGCGUCUAGCAGGGGUACCCGAUUAUGGCCGUGUUCUGACCGGGUGUACCCGAUUUUGGCCAC